rnacentral:rRNA from 1 species
AACGAACGCUGGCGGCGCGCCUAACACAUGCAAGUCGGACGCACCUUUCGGGGUGAGUGGCGGACGGGUGAGUAACGCGUGGGAACGUGUCCUGAGGUCCGGGAUAGCCGCGGGAAACUGCGGGUAACACCGGAUGCGCCCCUGUGAGGGGGGAAAGUUUACGCCUUGGGAGCGGCCCGCGUCGGAUUAGGUAGUUGGUGGGGUAACGGCCUACCAAGCCAUCGAUCCGUAGCUGGUCUGAGAGGAUGACCAGCCACACUGGGACUGAGACACGGCCCAGACUCCUACGGGAGGCAGCAGUGGGGAAUCUUGGACAAUGGGGGCAACCCUGAUCCAGCGACGCCGCGUGGGUGAUGAAGGCCUUCGGGUUGUAAAGCCCUUUUGCCGGGGACGAUGAUGACGGUACCCGGAGAAGAAGCACCGGCUAACUCUGUGCCAGCAGCCGCGGUAAGACAGAGGGUGCUAGCGUUGUUCGGAAUUACUGGGCGUAAAGGGCGCGUAGGCGGCCUGUUUAGUCGGGUGUGGAAUCCCGGGGCUCAACCCCGGAACUGCAUUCGAUACUGGCGGGCUGGAGACCGAGAGAGGUGAGUGGAAUACCCAGUGUAGAGGUGAAAUUCGUAGAUAUUGGGUGGAACACCGGUGGCGAAGGCGGCUCACUGGCUCGGAUCUGACGCUGAGGCGCGAAAGCGUGGGGAGCAAACAGG